GAUGAACGCUGGCGGCGUGCCUAAUACAUGCGAGUCGAGCGAACAGACGAGGAGCUUGCUCCUCUGACGUUAGCGGCGGACGGGUGAGUAACACGUGGAUAACCUACCUAUAAGACUGGGAUAACUUCGGGAAACCGGAGCUAAUACCGGAUAAUAUAUUGAACCGCAUGGUUCAAUAGUGAAAGACGGUUUUGCUGUCACUUAUAGAUGGAUCCGCGCCGCAUUAGCUAGUUGGUAAGGUAACGGCUUACCAAGGCGACGAUGCGUAGCCGACCUGAGAGGGUGAUCGGCCACACUGGAACUGAGACACGGUCCAGACUCCUACGGGAGGCAGCAGUAGGGAAUCUUCCGCAAUGGGCGAAAGCCUGACGGAGCAACACCGCGUGAGUGAUGAAGGUCUUCGGAUCGUAAAACUCUGUUAUUAGGGAAGAACAAAUGUGUAAGUAACUAUGCACGUCUUGACGGUACCUAAUCAGAAAGCCACGGCUAACUACGUG
rnacentral:rRNA from 1 species